rnacentral:rRNA from 1 species
GUAAGGGGCGAGCGUUGUUCGGAUUUACUGGGCGUAAAGGGUGUCUAGGCGGCACGUCAAGUCGGGAGUGAAAUCCCACGGCUUACCCGUGGAAUUGCUUUCGAAACUGGCGAGCUUGAGUACGGGAGAGGAGAGCGGAAUUCCCGGUGUAGCGGUGGAAUGCGUAGAUAUCGGGAAGAACACUCGUGGCGAAGGCGGCUCUCUGGACCGCUACUGACGCUGAAGCACGAAAGCCAGGGGAGCGAACGGGAUUAGAUACCCCGGGUAGUCCUGGCCGUAAACGAUGUGCACUUGGUGUAGGAGGUAUCGACCCCCCUUCUGUGCCGAAGCUAACGCAUUAAGUGCACCGCCUGGGGAGUACGGCCGCAAGGCUG